GGGGUUGUGGCUCAGUGGUGGAGUGCUUGCCUAGCAUGUAUGAGGCCCUGGGUUUGAUCCUCAGCACCA
rnacentral:tRNA from 1 species